rnacentral:rRNA from 1 species
UACGGGGGGGGCAAGCGUUGUUCGGAAUUACUGGGCGUAAAGGGCUCGUAGGCGGCCAACUAAGUCAGACGUGAAAUCCCCAGGCUCAACCUGGGAACUGCGUCUGAUACUGGAUGGCUUGAAUCCGGGAGAGGGAUGCGGAAUUCCAGGUGUAGCGGUGAAAUGCGUAGAUAUCUGGAGGAAUACCGGUGGCGAAGGCGGCAUCCUGGACCGGCAUUGACGCUGAGGAGCGAAAGCCAGGGGAGCAAACGGG